GGUUAAGUGACUAAGCGUACACGGUGGAUGCCUGGGCAGUCAGAGGCGAUGAAGGACGUACUAACUUGCGAUAAGCGCAGAUAAGGCAGUAAGAGCCGUUUGAGUCUGCGAUUUCCGAAUGGGGAAACCCAACUGCAUAAGCAGUUACUGUUAACUGAAUACAUAGGUUAACAGAGCAAACCGGGGGAACUGAAACAUCUAAGUACCCCGAGGAGAAGAAAUCAACCGAGAUUCCGGUAGUAGCGGCGAGCGAACCUGGAUUAGCCCUUAAGCACUCGUUGAAGUAGGUGAACAAGCUGGAAAGCUUGGCGAUACAGGGUGAUAGCCCCGUAACCGACGCUUCAUCGAGCGUGAAAUCGAGUAGGGCGGGACACGUGAUAUCCUGUCUGAAUAUGGGGGGACCAUCCUCCAAGGCUAAAUACUCCUGACUGACCGAUAGUGAACCAGUACCGUGAGGGAAAGGCGAAAAGAACCCCUGUGAGGGGAGUGAAAUAGAACCUGAAACCGUGUACGUACAAGCAGUAGGAGCACCUUCGUGGUGUGACUGCGUACCUUUUGUAUAAUGGGUCAGCGACUUAUAUUCAGUGGCAAGGUUAACCGUAUAGGGGAGCCGUAGCGAAAGCGAGUCUUAACUGGGCGCUCAGUCUCUGGAUAUAGACCCGAAACCGGGUGAUCUAGCCAUGGGCAGGUUGAAGGUUGAGUAACAUCAACUGGAGGACCGAACUGACUAAUGUUGAAAAAUUAGAGGAUGAUCUUGUGUCUAGGAGUGAAAGUUCUAUCAAACUCGGAGAUAGGUGGUUCUUCCCGAGAGCUAUUUAGGUAGUACAUCGGAGGAAUACUUCUGGGGUUAUAGCACUGUUAAGGCUAGGGGGUCAUUCCGACUUACCAACCGUUUGCUAACUCAGAAUCCCAGUAAGUACUAUCCUGGAUACACAAGACGGGUGCUAACCUCCGUCCUGGAGAGGGUAACAACCCAGACCUCCAUCUAAGGUCCCAAAGUAUUGCUAAGUGAGAAAGGAUGUGGGAAGGCUCACACACAUCGGAUGUUGAGCUUAGAAGCAGCCAUCAUUUAAAGAAAGCGUAAUAGC
rnacentral:rRNA from 1 species